GGGGAAUCUUGGACAAUGGGGGCAACCCUGAUCCAGCCAUGCCGCGUGAGUGAAGAAGGCCUUAGGGUUGUAAAGCUCUUUCGCACGUGACGAUGAUGACGGUAACGUGAGAAGAAGCCCCGGCUAACUUCGUGCCAGCAGCCGCGGUAAUACGAAGGGGGCUAGCGUUGUUCGGAAUUACUGGGCGUAAAGCGCGCGUAGGCGGUUUUGUAAGUCAGAGGUGAAAUCCCGGGGCUCAACCCUGGAACUGCCUUUGAGACUGCAAGGCUUGAGAGCGGGAGAGGUGAGUGGAAUUCCCAGUGUAGAGGUGAAAUUCGUAGAUAUUGGGAAGAACACCGGUGGCGAAGGCGGCUCACUGGCCCGUUUCUGACGCUGAGGCGCGAAAGCGUGGGGAGCAAACAGGA
rnacentral:rRNA from 1 species